GAUGAGCGCUGGCGGCGUGCCUAAUACAUGCAAGUCGAGCGAACGGACGAGAAGCUUGCUUCUCUGAUGUUAGCGGCGGACGGGUGAGUAACACGUGGAUAACCUACCUAUAAGACUGGGAUAACUUCGGGAAACCGGAGCUAAUACCGGAUAAUAUUUUGAACCGCAUGGUUCAAAAGUGAAAGACGGUCUUGCUGUCACUUAUAGAUGUAUCCACGCUGCAUUAGCUAGUUGGUAAGGUAACGGCUUACCAAGGCAACGAUGCGUAGCAGACCUGAGAGGGUGAUCGGCCACACUGGAACUGAGACACGGUCCAGACUCCUACGGGAGGCAGCAGUGGGGAAUCUUCCACAAUGGGCGAAAGCCUGACGGAGCAACGCCGCGUGAGUGAUGAAGGUCUUCGGAUCGUAAAACUCUGUUAUUAGGGAAGAACAUAUGUGUAAGUAACUGUGCACAUCUUGACGGUACCUAAUCAGAAAGCCACGGCUAACUACGUG
rnacentral:rRNA from 1 species